GGGGAUUUGGCUCAGUGGUAGAGCGCUUGCCUAGGAAGCGCAAGGUCCUGGGUUCUGUCCCCAGCCCCG
rnacentral:tRNA from 1 species